GAUGAACGCUGGCGGCGUGCCUAAUACAUGCAAGUCGAGCGAACAGACGAGGAGCUUGCUCCUCUGACGUUAGCGGCGGACGGGUGAGUAACACGUGGAUAACCUACCUAUAAGACUGGGAUAACUUCGGGAAACCGGAGCUAAUACCGGAUAAUAUAUUGAACCGCAUGGUUCAAUAGUGAAAGACGGUUUUGCUGUCACUUAUAGAUGGAUCCGCGCCGCAUUAGCUAGUUGGUAAGGUAACGGCGUACCACGGCAACGAUGCGUAGCCGACCUGAGAGGGUGAUCGGCCACACUGGAACUGAGACACGGUCCAGACUCCUACGGGAGGCAGCAGUAGGGAAUCUUCCGCAAUGGGCGAAAGCUUGACGGAGCAACGCCGCGUGAGUGAUGAAGGUCUUCGGAUCGUAAAACUCUGUUAUUAGGGAAGAACAAAUGUGUAAGUAACUAUGCACGUCUUGACGGUACCUAAUCAGAAAGCCACGGCUAACUACGUG
rnacentral:rRNA from 1 species